AUAAAGUUUUAUUUUGGCUAAAAAAUUUAUUAUUUUUAUAGUUUAUAUGUAAGUUUUUGCAAGAAUUAUAAUAAUUCUUAAGGAAGUUUUAUUAGAAAUUAUUCGCAGUAUUUGGUAUUGAUUAUUAAAGAAAUUUAGAAUUAGUAAUAAAUAAUAGUAUAGGUUAAUUUUGUGCCAGCAUCCGCGGUUAUACAAAAUAUACAAAUAAAUUUUAUUAUUAUAUAGUUAAUUGUUAAAAUUAUAAAUGAGAGAUUAAAUUUUAAGGUAAAAUUUAAAUUUGAUUAAAAGUUUAUUUAGAAUUUUUUAUGAAGCUAUUAAAAUUUAAUAAAAAACUAGGAUUAGAUACCCUAUUAUUUAAAAAGUAAAAAAAAUUAAUAUGGUAGUAGUAGUUAUAGUCUUGAAACUAAAAAAAUUUGGCGGUAUUUUAAUCUGUUUAGAGGAAUCUGUCCCAUAAUCGAUAGUCCACGAUUAAUUUUACAUAAUUUAAUUUAAUUUGUAUAUCGUCGUUAUAAGGAAAUUUUAUAAGAAGAUAAAUUUUCUAAAAUUUUUAAUAAGAUUUAUUUCAGAUCAAGGUGCAAUAUAUAAUUAUGAGGAGAUGGAUUACAAUAAAUUUAUUUAUAAUGGAUAGUAAAUUGAAAAAUUUAUUUGAAGGUGGAUUUAAUAGUAAUUUAAAUAAAAUUAUUUUUUUGAUUAUAGUUCUAAAAUAUGCACAUAUCGCCCGUCGCUCUCUUUUUUAAAAAGAGAUAAGUCGUAACAAAGUAGAUGUACUGGAAAGUGUAUCUAGAAUGAU
rnacentral:ncRNA from 1 species